UGGGGAAUAUUGCACAAUGGGGGAAACCCUGAUGCAGCGACGCCGCGUGAGCGAAGAAGGUUUUCGAAUCGUAAAGCUCUGUCCUAUGGGAAGAUAAUGACGGUACCAUAGGAGGAAGCCCCGGCUAACUACGUGCCAGCAGCCGCGGUAAUACGUAGGGGGCAAGCGUUGUCCGGAAUCACUGGGCGUAAAGGGUUCGCAGGCGGAAAUGCAAGUCAGUUGUGAAAGGCAGAGGCUCAACCUCUGUAAGAAAUUGAAACUGUAUUUCUUGAGAUGUGGAGAGGCAAGUGGAAGUCCUAGUGGAGCGGUGAAAUGCGUAGAUAUUAGGAAGAAUACCGGUGGCGAAGGCGACUUGCUGGACACAAACUGACGCUGAGGAACGAAAGCGUGGGUAGCAAACAGG
rnacentral:rRNA from 1 species